GAAUGUGAGGGCGAUCUGGCUGCGACAUCUGUCACCCCAUUGAUCGCCAGGGUUGAUUAGGCUGAUCUGGGUGGCUAGACGGGUGUCCCCUUCCUCCCUCACCACUCCACGUGUGUCCCUCCCAAAGCUGUGCGCUUCGUCACUUGGUUGCUUGGUUGCUUGGUCAAAGAGGAUGGCCUUCCUGAAUAGAGAUGUUUGAGGGUAUACAAGUAGCUGCACUCCCCUGCUAGAACUGCCAAAUAAGCUCUCAAUAAGUUAUGGGGGGAGGGGCCCGGGCAAUGACACACCCAGUAUGUAUAUUGUAGUAUGUAUAUUGUAGU
rnacentral:snRNA from 1 species